UGGUAAAAAGAGGGCUUAAACCCCUAUAAACGGAGCUACAAUCCGCCGCCUGCACCUUCGGCCACUUUACC
rnacentral:tRNA from 1 species